AUGAAGCUCGUCGGAAAAAGCCUCGCCCGCGACGGGCCCGGCUCCGUCAAGCUAUUGCCGGAGGUGGAUGACGACCUGUGGGACGCGUACAACCUCAUCGCCGCCGGCGACGCCGUCGAGGCCGUCACGGUCCGGAAGAUCACGAGGUCCGGAGGCCGCGACGCGGAGCGCAUCAAGCUGACGCUGGAGGUGGCGGUGGAGUCCACGGACUACGACAAGGACGGCUCCGUCCUGCGCGUCCGCGGCAAGAACCUCUCCAAGAACGAGCACGUCCAGAUCGGUCAGUACCACACCUUGGGAUAG
rnacentral:rRNA from 1 species